rnacentral:rRNA from 1 species
AUGAAGGCUCAUAUUCUUCAGUAUGUCCAGUGUUGUCAAAUCUGUCAACAGGCGAAAACAGAGCGGGUGGCUUCACCAGGGCUACUCCACCCACUUCCUAUACCCACUACUUCCUAGGAUAUGAUCACGAUGGAUUUCAUCGAUGGUCUUCCGCAAUCAGGUCAGCACAAUUGCAUUUGGGUUCUGGUCGAUAAAAUGACCAAGUUCGCUCAUUUCUUGCCACUUGCCCACCCUUACACUGCUUCGCGUGUUGCCCUCCUCUACAUGCAAUGCAUCUACCCCAUCCAUGGAUUUCCCCAAUCCCUCGUUUCUGAUCGUAAUCCUGUUUUCACUUCUCACUUUUGGCAAGAACUCUUUCGCCAUGCUGGUACUGAUCUCCGCAUGAGCACGGCCAACCACCCGCAAACAGAUGGGCAAUCCGAAUACGUGAACCAAUGUCUUGAAACUUUCCUUUGUUGUUUCACGCAGGUGCCCCAAGCAGUGGAGUCAUUGGAUUCCCCUAGCACAGUUCUAGUACAAUGCCGCGCCGCAUUCGGCCAUUGGCAUGACACCAUUAUGGCUAUGUUCGGUCAUGAACCCCACCAUUGGGGCAUCACCACGACCUCCUCCUGCUCUGUUCCCUCUCUGCAAACCUGGCUCGACGAGCGCGCCACCAUCUAGGACCUGCUGCAACAACGUCUGCAAGAAGCUCGCUUGCGUAUGAAACAGCAGGCAGACAAGAAGUGCUCUGAGCGUGUGUUCGAGAUUGACGACAAGGUUUAUCUGAAACUACAGCCGUAUGUGCAAACUUCAGUGGCCAAGCGAGCUAACCACAAGCUCUCUUUUCGUUACUAUGGACCUUAUUCCAUCAUCGCCAAGAUCAACCCAGUGGCUUAUAAACAGGAGCUACCAGCAAACGCAACAAUUCACCCUGUUUUCCAUGUCUCUGCUGAGAAAAGCUCUCCUACCAGGUACGCUAGUUCAACAGCAACUUCCCACUACUACUGA